rnacentral:lncRNA from 1 species
AGAAUGAGUCAAGCUUUAGGGAGUGCACAAAGUGAGUCCUGGGAGCACAGGGUGGAUUUAUCAUUGCACCCAGGGUGUUGACCGGUGUCCAAGGGAGGGGGCUGAAGUGAGAUGGGGCAAAAGCAAAAGACCUAGGGGAUGAGGCCAGCAAUCCAGGCCUUCAGAGUUGGCGCUGAUGGAAGAUGGCUCGCUUGACCUGCAUGGCCCCUGCCUUGACAUGUCUUUGCUGGGAACUGCCAGUGACCUUGAUGAAUGUUAGCGCCCUGGCCAGGAAGAAGUCGAGGUAGCAACACUUUGGCUCAUGCCCACUGUGCUGUGCUCCUCAUGGGCACUGUCAACCAUGAGGGACAAUGGGUCACAGCUGGAACUCACGCUUUGGGGUUAGCCAUGACGGUGAGCAGCAGGAAUACCUGUGAGUACUGGGAGAAGUGAAAUCUGUGAAGGCUGACAGAAGUGCUUCAGGGAGCUGGUGCAGGGCACCUCUGAGAAUUCCCAGAAGUAUCAAGCUGCUUUCUCAGGGAGGAGCACGAGAGUUCCCGCAAACCUGCUAGAGCUGAAUCCGAGAAAUACUCUGUAAUGCAGGCAAAGACUACAUUGGCAUAGUGGCAACAACAACCACUGCAACUGAAGGCCAAUGACCACAUGACUGACUGCUCUAGACUGAAUAUCUGUGUUUCCCCAAAUUCCUAUGCUGAAAUCCUAACACCUGACGUGAUGGUAUUUGGAGAUGGGGCCUUUGGGAGGUGAUUCGGUGAUGCAGAUGGAAGCUUCAUGAAUGAGAUUAGUGCCCUCAUCAAAAAGACACCAGAGAGCUACUUCAACCCUCCCACCACGUAAGAACACAGGGAGAAGAGGUCCCUCUAUGAAUCACCAGACACCAAAUACGACCUUGAUCUUGGACUUCCCAGCCUCCAGAACCAUGAGUUUACGCCACACAAUCUAUGGUGUUUUUGUUACAGUAGCCCGAACAGACCGAAACUCUGACCGUGGAAGUUAUUCUAUUUUCUUUUCUAAAAUAGAUGAUCAUCAAAACAGAUUGACUGGAUUGCAUAAACCCCUCUCAGUCUUGGGACUUCUUUUGGGAAGGAAGACCUCAGGGAUGGAAGAAAUCUUCCCUCCACAGGCAGAUUGAGGGGUUAGAGUAACUUAAUUAGAAUAUUGAAAGAAAGGUACCUUAUUUUGCUUCCAAAGCUGGUAACUCCGUACAGAACAAUUCCAUAUUUCACUGUGCAGAUUAUCAGGGAGCCAAUAAAAAGGAUGUGUCCAUUCAACUGCUGACUGUCUGUAGUACUGAUUUAAUGGUCUCAAGAAAAGUUUGAGAAAUGAGUAUUUCCUGCUGGGAGCUGUGCUCACAUAAAGAAAUGGAAGAGCCUGCAAACAGAGGAUAGACAGUGAGAAAACAAGUUUGAAGCUCGUCUUCAUGAAUUAAUUAUAAAAUGCCUGAAGUAGAAGAUUGGAUCUGGUUUAAAAAAUAAAAAUGUCCUGCAAUUUAAAUCACUGAGCUAUCCCCAUAACCAUCAGCCUCUGGCAAUGAUCUCUGAACUCAGGUCUUUCUUUUCACAGUCCUUGUGAAAUAAUGAAUCACUUCUUGAAGAUGACAGGUGGAUAAAAUAAGAGAUGAAACAACAAAUAAGAAAAUAAGCCAUUCUCUUCCAGGAAAAAUGGAACAAGGUGCCUUCAAAUCUCCUAAGCUUUGCUGUGAAAAGUUUCUUUCUUAAAUAGUUAGAGCAAAUAUUUACUUAGUUCUGCCACAUAUCCAGGACCAGGCUUUUGGAAUGAGUUACAGUCUUCUUUCAAGUGUUUCACUACUGAUGAAAAUAUUCUGUAAUAUAAUGGCUUUAUUUUUAACACACUUUCUUUUUGAAACAUUGUGUAGUCAAAUCUUCCCAAGGCCAAAUAGGUUUUGGUCAGACAAAUUAGAUCAUGCCCAGCAAGUGGCAGCAUGACAAAAGGAUGCCUUAAAUACUGCCAGGGGAACCAUCCUGGUCUAUAGGUAAUAAUCAUUUGAUUAGAAACUUUGUUCAUGUCAUUGUGGGGGUCAAUUAUCAUUGCUGUCUACAGGGAAAACCAGGGACUUGUAUAUCUCAGAGCCUGACUUCACUUUCUCUUUCAAUGGUAAUUAACCUUGGAGGCCUGUCCCUGCUACCUGGAAACUGUCCUUGAAGAGAAGAUUUGUGGGCAAUAGGUUACUGAUGCAAACACUCGGGAAUAACACCUGUGAGGGUGUGAGAGACGCAAGAUGGAGCAGAGGAAGAAGUUGAGCUGAUGCUGCUGCAGCCGAGGCCUGAACCUCUCCCAUAGGACGUUGCCUGAAUUUAGGCGAGGAGGCAAAGUUUCAAUAUUCCACCUUAAUCACUUUGAGAUGUGGGCCAUCCUCAGGGAGGGACCUCGCUUGGGUAAGGCAGCUUCCUUUGGCCGAGAGAAAUGCCUGGAGACAGUGCUGGAGUCCUCAGCAGCUAACAUUCCCUCCCCUGCCCACCCCACCUCCGGGGGAACACAUUCCUUGGUUCUGGCUGGGAUGGAGAGAGAUGGAGGGAGAAUCUGGCUGACACAGCAUAGAUCCACUGCAAGGUCCCUUAUUGAAUUAGAGUAGUUUUUUCCUGUUAUCUAAUACUGUGUAUGUAAAAGAUUACCCCCAAACUUACUGGCUUAAAACAACAAACAUAAUGUGUUAUUGCUCUUGGCUUCCGUGAGUCAGAAAUUCACUAGUGGCUGGUUCUGGGGAUGGGUGUUCUGCUUGAGGUGACUUGUGUGCAUGCAGUCAGAUGGUGGCUGAAGCAGCUGGGGGCUGGCCAGGCUCCUUUCUCUCUUUAUGCAGCCUUGGGCCUCUUGGGGUGGUCUCUUUGCCUGGCCUCACUUUGCCUUCCUCCCAGCAUGGCCCCUGGCACCUCUUGCCAACAGGGAGGCCGAGGCACCAGAAGUGAACAUUCUAAGAGGGUCCAGAAGAUGCUGCAUGGCCUCUUCUAACUUACCCUCAGAAAUCACAUGGUAUCAGGGCUUCCUCAGUCAUUUGUCAGGGACCCACCUAGGUUCAAGGGGAAGGGACAAGGAUCCCACUUCUUGAUAGGGAAUGACAAGAUCUGUAAGAACACAUUGGAUGGGACAGUUUUUGAGAAUGCCAAAGACUAUAAAGCUAAUAUUUCCUUCCUUCCUUGCUUUUUUUAGGGCCACAGUUGUGGCUUAUGGACGUUCCCAGGCUACGGGGUGAAUUGGAGCUACAGCUGCUGGCCUACAGCACAGCCACAGCAAGGCGGGAUCCCAGUCGAGUCCGUGACUUACACCACAGCUCACAGCAACUCAGGAAACCUGACCCACUGAGUGAGGACAGGGAUUGAACCCACAUCCUCAUGGAUACUAGUUGGAUUCGUUUCUGCUGAGCCACUACAGGAACUUCCUAAAGCUACUAUUUUCUGAUUGGUAAUAAAUUCCAUUAAAGAUAUUUAAAAAUAAUGGUAUACCUAAAGUCCUUUCUAAAAAUUAUAAAUAUAUAUACACACACAUAUGAAUUCAAUUAUUCAAGUAUUAUGGAUCUGCAUUAGCAAUAAAACAGCCCAGGAGAGUCCGUCAGUUAUCAGACAUAGAUAUCAAAUCCAGCAUCAUUGUCUUCGGUUAAGUGAUAUACAUGGAAGUAUAGGAAACACUAGCUAAACAAAGUUAUUUCUGUGUCACAAAAGCUACUUAAAUGAAUUACAACUUAGUUUUUAUUCAUUACCAACCAAAACUUUUGCAUUUACAUUUUCAAUUUACAUUUGUAAAGCAAAGAGCUCAAGAGUCAAUCCCCUUUUCUGUAGCCGUGUUAGGAAUUCAUGAGAGCAGUACUCAUGUUCUCUAUACUCUGAACUGCAAUUUUAGAGAAAUACUCCCCCAUUCUUACCUGGUCAAAGAAAUGUGGUCCCCACCACAGGAAUUUGGACUUCAAAUUCAGUUUCAAAUCUGGCACAACCUUUGAUACCAAGAAAAUUACGUUAAUUCUAACUAGGAUAGAUUUUUGGAUGAGUUUGGUCAAUGCUAAUAGGUUUGUCUUUCUGAUGUUUAUUUGAUGUCUCAGGAGGAAAACACAAACACUUCUAUGUGAUGUAACGUGAGAACCCCAAACCAGCCACUAUGCCUCAGAGUUUGCUCUUUGGUGAUGGGAUUCAGCCGCUUUUAGCAUCUCUGUCAGUUCAUCCAGUCUUUCAUGGCCAUUCUGAGUCACUGGGAUUACCAAACACUGUUGGACAAAACUACUGAGGCAGCCACACCACCAGCAUUUGUUAUGGGGAGCGAAAAGAUUUGUUUUUGAUUUGGAAUCCACCAAAUCAUGCUUUUCAGAAAACGUCUGAAUUGUUUUAUUAUGAUACUAUUGGUUUGGAUAGGAAACGCUGUUUAGUUUACAACAUGUUGCUACCGAGUGUACAAUGUACAAUUUAGAGGAUAAUAAACGAGGUUCCAAAUCCUU